rfam:Triticum urartu cultivar G1812 contig812313, whole genome shotgun sequence.
GUUGUACUCCCUCCAUCCAGAAAUACUUAUCGGAGAAAUAGAUGUAUCUAAACGUAUUUUAAUUCUACAUACAUCCAUUUUUACGAUAAGUAUUUCCGGACGGAGGGAGUACACA